AGAUGGUUAAUUUAACUAAAAUACUUGAUUUCGGCUCAAAAACUCCCAGUUCAAUUCUGGGACCACCUA
rnacentral:tRNA from 1 species